rnacentral:rRNA from 1 species
GACAGAGGGGGCAAGCGUUGUCCGGACUGACUGGGCGUAAAGCGCGCGCAGGCGGAUGCGGGCGUCGGUGCGGAAAGGGCGCCGCUUAACGGCGGAGAGCGUACCGAUACGCCGCGUCUGGAGCGCGGGCGAGGGUGGUGGAAUUGCCGGUGUAGUGGUGAAAUGCGUAGAGAUCGGCAGGAACACCCGUGGCGCAAGCGGCCACCUAGCCCGUUGCUGACGCUGAGGCGCGACAGCGUGGGGAGCGAACUGG